UACUCUGUUGGAUGCGGCUUGGGUGGGAAACUGGGGCAUGGAUCAAGAACUGAUGAGAAGUAUCCUCGGUUAAUUGAACAAUUUCGGCUUUUGAACCUUCAGCCUGUGGUGGUGGCGGCUGGGGCUUGGCAUGCAGCUGUUGUAGGGCGAGAUGGACGCGUUUGCACAUGGGGUUGGGGACGUUAUGGGUGCUUGGGUCAUGGGAAUGAAGAGUGCGAAUCAGUUCCAAAGGUUGUGGAAGCAUUAAGCCACGUCAAAGCUGUUCAUGUUGCCACAGGGGAUUACACGACCUUUGUGGUUUCUGAUGAGGGUGAUGUAUACUCAUUUGGUUGUGGGGGAUCUGCUAGUCUUGGACAUAAUAAUGCUGCUGCUGCUGACGGACAGGGAAAUAGGCAUGCCAAUGUGUUGAGCCCUGAAUUAGUGACAUCACUGAAAGAAGUGAACGAGCGAGUGGUGCAGAUCAGCCUCACCAAUUGCGUAUACUGGAAUGCUCACACAUUUGCACUCACUGAAUCUGGGAAACUAUACGCAUUCGGGGCAGGAGACAAAGGGCAGCUGGGUGUUGAACGAAUGAACAACCAGACUGAAAGAGGGAAUCCAGAACGGGUGGAGAUCGAUCUAAGUUAGCCAUUAAAAUGACUCCCCUUGCAGUUCCUUACCCUUUUAACUCAUCAGCAUGAGCAUUACACACUGCAUUUGGUGUCUAGAUUUCCCUGUUUAUUCUGUACAUAGAAAAACAGAAAGAAUUGUGAAGAUUUAAAAGCUUUUAGGUUGCAAAGCGUUAGUGCUUGGGCCUUGUAGAUUUUCUUUAGAAAUCAAGUCAUGCAGGAUGAGCUUGGGUCUUUGCAACCUAAAAGCUUUUAAAUCUUC
rnacentral:misc_RNA from 1 species